GUAUAGAUGGACAGCCUGCUAACCCGAAGUCUAAAAGAGUGCAGGGAUCUAGCUCGUUCACUCGAGCUGCUGUGGGACAAGGACAAUACAUUAAAGGAACUUAUUCCUUUAGCAAGAUGCUACCUCACCCAAGCACUGGUCAUGUGACGCAAUAGGAGAAAAAAUUCCAAGAUUGUUACUUAACCUGGUAAAUUUCAAAAGGUGAAACGAGGAUCCCGAAAUGUCGUGUGCGCACGUGUCUCAACGUAGUUCGGAUUAUAAAGCGAAGGUUCGAGCACUCAGGAGCCACCUCGUGGCUUAAAGGCGACAUUUUGGAAGGAAGAAUCGUACGAUUCACGAAUUGUCGCUCUUGUCGUUCCGACGAUGAGCUGCAUUCACAACUAGUAACAGCAUUGCGACACGCGACUGUGACUGAAAGCUUCUGUCUAUAUAGCAUCAUCCACUCAUGGAUUUGUACCACUAUUUGUAAUGCGAAAUAAAUUUUUAUCUACACAAUUA